rnacentral:rRNA from 1 species
AUAGUGAACCAGUACCGUGAGGGAAAGGCGAAAAGAACCCCGGCGAGGGGAGUGAAAAAGAACCUGAAACCGUGUACGUACAAGCAGUGGGAGCACCUUCGGGUGUGACUGCGUACCUUUUGUAUAAUGGGUCAGCGACUUUAUAUUCUGUAGCAAGGUUAACCGUAUAGGGGAGCCGCAGGGAAACCGAGUCUUAACUGGGCGUUAAGUUGCAGGGUAUAGACCCGAAACCCGGUGAUCUAGCCAUGGGCAGGUUGAAGGUUGGGUAACACUAACUGGAGGACCGAACCGACUAAUGUUGAAAAAUUAGCGGAUGACUUGUGGCUGGGGGUGAAAGGCCAAUCAAACCGGGAGAUAGCUGGUUCUCCCCGAAAGCUAUUUAGGUAGCGCCUCGUGAAUUCAUCUUCGGGGGUAGAGCACUGUUUCGGCUAGGGGGUCAUCCCGACUUACCAACCCGAUGCAAACU